rnacentral:rRNA from 1 species
AGACCCGAAACCCGGUGAUCUAGCCAUGGGCAGGUUGAAGGUUGGGUAACACUAACUGGAGGACCGAACCGACUAAUGUUGAAAAAUUAGCGGAUGACCUGUGGCUGGGGGUGAAAGGCCAAUCAAACCGGGAGAUAGCUGGUUCUCCCCGAAAGCUAUUUAGGUAGCGCCUCGUGAAUUCAUCUCCGGGGGUAGAGCACUGUUUCGGCUAGGGGGCCAUCCCGGCUUACCAACCCGAUGCAAACUGCGAAUACCGGAGAAUGUUAUCACGGGAGACACACGGCGGGUGCUAACGUCCGUCGUGAAGAGGGAAACAACCCAGACCGCCAGCUAAGGUCCCAAAGUCAUGGUUAAGUGGGAAACGAUGUGGGAAGGCCCAGACAGCCAGGAUGUUGGCUUAGAAGCAGCCAUCAUUUAAAGAAAGCGUAAUAGCUCACUGGUCGAGUCGGCCUGCGCGGAAGAUGUAACGGGGCUAAACCAUGCACCGAAGCUGCGGCAGCGACGCUUAUGCGUUGUUGGGUAGGGGAGCGUUCUGUAAGCCUGUGAAGGUGUGUCGUGAGGCAUGCUGGAGGUAUCAGAAGUGCGAAUGCUGACAUAAGUAACGAUAAAGCGGGUGAAAAGCCCGCUCGCCGGAAGACCAAGGGUUCCUGUCCAACGUUAAUCGGGGCAGGGUGAGUCGACCCCUAAGGCGAGGCCGAAAGGCGUAGUCGAUGGGAAACGGGUUAAUAUUCCC